rnacentral:misc_RNA from 1 species
AUUUUAAGUGCACAAAGCCCUUGCUUCAAUAAACACGCUUCGCUUAGUAUAUGUAAAAGUGCUUUCCUAUGCGUCGCUACGCUUUAGUGAGCGCUUUUUGCGCUUUUGUCUACACUGGUCUGAAAACCAAACACGAACACAGGUAUGGAAUGAUACUGUCAAUUUCUUAUCUCCACAAGAAAAUAUCAGUUCCUAGCUAGUCAACUCA